rnacentral:lncRNA from 1 species
UGGGGAUUGUGGUUGGAGGAGACCUUUUUUCCUUUAUGAAGAGGCUAUGGUCAAUGAGUUUUUCUUACUUAUCCAAGAUUUUGAGUUUUUGGAGGAGAUGGAUAGUUGGUUCUAGAGGCAUUAUAGAUAUGGAGUUUUCUCGGUUUCGUCUGCUUUUUAGUUCCAAGUGGACUCUCGGGAUCCUCCGGGGCCAACCUUAUUGAUGGGGAACCCUAAC